CUUUUCCUUCUCUUCUCUUCUUCUUCUCUUUUCUUUUCCUCCAUUCUUCUUCCGUUUCUCUUUCAGCAACCACUCCAAACCGCCGCGUCGUCGUCCAGAUCUGCAACGCCGUUUCACCGGUAGCCCCGUCCCAAUCGCCUCUGUCUCCACUGCCACGAGUCAUCGAAUUUUGGUUGGUGUGAAAGGUAACAUUGGGUCACUUGAAUUCACAACCAAUUUGUGAAUUUUGAAUUCGGUUAGCCCUUAUUUGGAUUGUUUUGUGGACGAUAGUUGAUUAAGGAGCUUCCCUAAGUUUGAGGCAAAAGCAACAAAGGCGGCAAACCGGCGAGGGGCAGGAAGGAAGCGUGAUCGCCAUAGGGAACAUUUUAAAUUCGCUUCUGCUUGAUGAUUUAUCUUUUGUUUUGUUUUCGUACUUGAGACUGUUUAGAAAAUUUGAGGUUUAAUGUAUCCAAAAACUGGAAAAUUAUAAGUUUUUCU